rnacentral:lncRNA from 1 species
CAGGCACAGACCAGGACAUCUCCAAGGUAUUUCCAGCAGGUAUCUGCUAGACGCGUUCUCUCUGCCAGCCCGCUGCCUUGCUAGCUGUGGAGCAACUGCAGUACGUGCCCGUCCCUGUCACCAGGGGCUGGCCAUCAACAGAAGCUGCUCCUUCCAAGCCGGCCACGCGUCUACUACUUCAUCAUCCUCUCGGGGGUGCGUCCACAGCUCUCCCUACAAUGGGAGCUUCCUGAGAGGCACUUUCAUUUCUCUGUGCUUCCUCUGGGCUCACCAGCAAGUGCUAAACUGAAGGAAGAUAGAGUUAAAUUGUUUAGCAAUCAGAGUUUCUAUGACUGUCCAUCAUCACUGCAUCUCUUCUAUGACAUGAGACAUUGGUGCGAUGUGUCAUUAUGUUCAAAUGUGUGGGUCGGCCAGGGUGUAUCUGUAUGGACUGAAUGUGUCCCCAUAAAAUUUGUAUGUUGAAGCCCUAACCCCCAAUAUGAGGAUAUUUGGAGCUGGGGCCUUUGGGAGGUAAUUAAGUUAGAUGAGGUCAGAUGGACAUGGCCCCUGUGGUUGAGAUUAGCCCUAAUACCAAGAGAUAGCAGAGAGGUCCACCCUACUGUUGGCCACGUGCACACAUAGGGAGAAGGGGGCCGUCUAUAAGCAAGGAAGAGAGCCCUCAUCAGAAACCGAUCACGCCAGCAUGCUGAUCUUGGAUCUGAGGCCUCCAGAACUGAGGGAAAAUAAAUGUCUGCUGUUGAAGUCACCCAGUCCAUAUUGUUUUGUUAUGGCAGCUGGGAUAAGACAGUGUCCUUCUCGGUUUCUACCCAUAACAGGAUAAAAAUCCCUGGAGCAAACCCUCUCCUUCCACCCAAAGGAGCCAUGGGAAGCCACUCUCUACAAUUUGCAGCAAACAUGGAAGCACCAGAAUCCUGCACGUAUGCUCGGAGGAAACGCACAGAGGACAAAUGCAGGGUCGCAGGAUACAAGAAUGGCAAAGGCUGACUCCAGAGAACGUUGUUAAGCUUCAAAUCUAUACUGUGCAUUGGAAGGUAAACAAGCAUCAUCCACACAACUAACUGACUGCAUUCACCAGCACACUCUGAAGUCUUCAGCUACUGCUAUUAAUCUAUUUUUCUCAACAUUAUUUUCUUUCCUCAUUCUUGGAUUUCUUUUUAUUUAUGUAUUUAUUUUUUGA